rnacentral:rRNA from 1 species
ACGAAGGGGGCUAGCGUUGCUCGGAAUCACUGGGCGUAAAGCGCACGUAGGCGGAUCAUUAAGUCGGGGGUGAAAUCCUGGAGCUCAACUCCAGAACUGCCUUCGAUACUGAAGAUCUUGAGUCCGGGAGAGGUGAGUGGAACUGCGAGUGUAGAGGUGAAAUUCGUAGAUAUUCGCAAGAGCACCAGUGGCGAAGGCGGCUCACUGGCCCGGUACUGACGCUGAUGUGCGAAAGCGUGGGGAGCAAACAGGA